rnacentral:rRNA from 1 species
CAGUGUCUGGUGGGUAGUUUGACUGGGGCGGUCUCCUCCUAAAGAGUAACGGAGGAGCACGAAGGUUGGCUAAUCCUGGUCGGACAUCAGGAGGUUAGUGCAAUGGCAUAAGCCAGCUUGACUGCGAGCGUGACGGCGCGAGCAGGUGCGAAAGCAGGUCAUAGUGAUCCGGUGGUUCUGAAUGGAAGGGCCAUCGCUCAACGGAUAAAAGGUACUCCGGGGAUAACAGGCUGAUACCGCCCAAGAGUUCAUAUCGACGGCGGUGUUUGGCACCUCGAUGUCGGCUCAUCACAUCCUGGGGCUGAAGUAGGUCCCAAGGGUAUGGCUGUUCGCCAUUUAAAGUGGUACGCGAGCUGGGUUUAGAACGUCGUGAGACAGUUCGGUCCCUAUCUGCCGUGGGCGCUGGAGAACUGAGGGGGGCUGCUCCUAGUACGAGAGGACCGGAGUGGACGCAUCACUGGUGUUCGGGUUGUCAUGCCAAUGGCACUGCCCGGUAGCUAAAUGCGGAAGAGAUAAGUGCUGAAAGCAUCUAAGCACGAAACUUGCCCCGAGAUGAGUUCUCCCUGAGACUUAAAGUCUCCUGAAGGAACGUUGAAGACGACGACGUUGAUAGGCCGGGUGUGUAAGCGCAGCGAUGCGUUGAGCUAACCGGUACUAAUG